rnacentral:rRNA from 1 species
AUUGAACGCUGGCGGCAUGCUUUACACAUGCAAGUCGAACGGUAACAGGUUAAGCUGACGAGUGGCGAACGGGUGAGUAAUGCAUCGGAACGUGCCCGAUCGUGGGGGAUAACGCAGCGAAAGCUGCGCUAAUACCGCAUACGAUCUGAGGAUGAAAGCGGGGGACCGUAAGGCCUAGCGCGAUCGGAGCGGCUGAAGUCAGAUUAGGUAGUUGGUGGGGUAAAGGCCCACCAAGCCGACGAUCUGUGGCUGGUCUGAGAGGACGACCAGCCACACUGGGACUGAGACACGGCCCAGACUCCUACGGGAGGCAGCAGUGGGGAAUUUUGGACAAUGGGCGAAAGCCUGAUCCAGCAAUGCCGCGUGCAGGAAGAAGGCCUUCGGGUUGUAAACUGCUUUUGUACGGAGCGAAAAGGUCCUUUCUAAUACAGGGGGCUCAUGACGGUACCGUAAGAAUAAGCACCGGCUAACUACGUGCCAGCCGCCGCCGUAA